UUAUGACAGGGAAGCCUGGUGUGCUGCAGUUCAUGGGGUGGCAAAGAGUCGGACACAACCUAGGGACUGAACAACAAUGACAAGAUAGUAGUGUCUGUUCUGGCUCCCUCAUAGCACAGUUUUGAAAGUUGGGAUGAGGAUCAUCUGGGGGUACAGAUAUGAAAUAAUGUUUGACCCCCCAAAGUACAAUUUGCCGAAGAAUGAACCUGUGGAGUGGCCCCAGGUCCAGCCAGCCCCCUGUUCACUG
rnacentral:lncRNA from 1 species